rnacentral:lncRNA from 1 species
CUGGGAUUGUGAGGCCUCUGCAGCCAUGUGGAACUUCAUCAACACAGAAAAAGUCUUCUGUGACCAAGCGUGUUUCUUGGGUUUCUCCCCACCACCAAGCAAGCAAUGAAUUUUGCAGCGGACACCAACUGGGAGUCCUCCAAUCAAUUCUGAUACUGGAGAUAGCAACAGAUUCCACAGGUUGAGGACUCAGUGCCCAAGAUUGCCGCCAACCUCACAACACCAGUUGCAAGUCCAGGCCUCUGGAACUUCUGGUGGACAAGCUUCAAGUUGGGGUUCCCAUGACCCCCUCUCUGGGUUCAGUUAAUUUGCUGGAGUGGCUCACAGAACUCAAAGAAACACUUAAUUAUAUGUACUGUUUUGUCAUGAAGGAUAUUACGAAGGAUAUGAAUGAAGACAUGUAUAGGGCGAGGUAUGGGGGAAGGGGCAUGAAGCUUCAUGCACCCCCUUGGGUGCACCACCCUCCAGGAACCUCUACAUGUGCAGGUAUCCAGGAGCUCUCUGAUCCCUGUCAUUUUGGGUUUUUAUGGAGGCUUCAUUGCAUAGGCAUGAUUGACAACUGUGUAGAAAUGUGAUUGGACAAAAAAAAUUUGAUUUAAACCCGGCAAGGCUUGUCUUUUCAGAUUUUUCUUAGCCUCUCUGUAUUGUAUUCCUUCCUCUAAGGUGUGGGGCAGGGUGCUUUCUGGAAUAAGGGUGUGUUGACCCACAAUCAGAUUACAGUCUUGGCUUGGGCAGGUAAAAGGAGGACAGGAGAAAGAAGGAGAGAGAGUCUAUUUCCUAAGGCCUUAAGUGCCCCAACAUUGUAACAAGGACUAUGGGAGAUAGGGGUCAGGAACCAUGGACAAAAAACCAGUAUAUAUCAUAACAUCAUAGCCACUAAAACUUUGUUUUUGUUUGUUUGAGACAGGGUCUCACUCUAUCGCCCAGGCUGGAGUGCAGUGGCACGAUCACAGCUCACUGCAGCCUCUACCUCCCAGGCUCAAGAGAUCCUCCCUACUCAGCUUCCUGAGUAGCUGGGACUACAGACGUGCACCACCACAGCUGCCUGAUUUUUAAAUUUUUUGUGGAGACGAGGUCUCCCUAUGUUGCUUAGGCUGGUCUCCAACUCCUAGCCUCAAGUGACCCUCUCAUCUCAGCCUACAAAAGUGCUGGGAUUACUGGCACGUGCCAUUGUAGCCAGAGGCCCUAAAACAUUUUUGAUUAAUACACUCGUGCACUGUGAGAGAAGAUAAAAUCACUCAAGACAAAGAAAGUAUGGGGCCAGGAAUUGACAACAAAUUCCAAGCAACCCCAACAUUUAAGGACUAGGUAGAGACUCCCUGUAUCUAUCACUUAUAGAUGUUGCCUUAUCUGUGUUAUCACAGAUAUCACUCAUCUGUGUUGCCCAGGCUGGCCUCAAACUCCUGAGCUCGAGGAUCCUCCUGCCUUCGGCUCCUAAGUAACUGAGACUAGAGGUGUGUACCACUGUGCCUGGCAACUCAGUAUGUAUUUCUAAAAGAUAAAGACUCUUUUAAGGCCGGGUGCAGUGGCUCAUGCCUAUAAUCCCAGCACUUUGGGAGGCUGAGGCAGAUAGAUCCCUUGAGUCCAGGAGUUCAAGAAGAGUCAGGGCAACAUGGGGAAACCCUGUUUCUACAAAAAAAUACAAAAACUAGCUGGGCAUGAUGGUGUACACCUGUAGUCCCAGCUACUUGAGAGGAUGAGAUGGGAGGAUCACCUGAGCCCAGGGAGUUUGGGGCUGCAGUGAGAUUGCACUACUGCAUUCCAGCCUGGGUGACAGAGUGAGACCCUGUCUCAAAACAACAUCAAAAGACUCAUCUAAAAAUUAUAACCACAAUAUAAUUAUCAUAUCUAAAACAUUAAUAUUUACUUAGUAUCAUUUAGUAUCAUGAGUUUACAAAUUCUUGAAUUGUAUUGUAAUUUAAUUCAGUUGGUUUGAGUCAGGAUCCAAACAAGAUCCACACAUUGCAAUUAGUUAUGUUUCUUACAUCCCCUUUAGUCUCUAAGUUAACCACCUCUUUUUUCCUUUUUUAAAGAAACGGAAGUAUUUUUUUCCAGUAAAAUUUCUUGUAGUCUAGAUUUUGCUGAUUAUAUCCCUGCAAUGUUAUUUAACAUUCUCUAUUCCCUCUAAUUGCUGUAGGCUGGUAGUUAAGUCUGGAGAGUUGAACAAUUGAUCAUAUUCACACUUGAUUUUUUAAAAUCAAGCCUUUAUAGAUAGUGUUUUGUACUUCUAUUGUAACACUUUGGGAAGCACAUGAUUUCUGGAGGUCUUUCUUUUGUGAGAUUAAGGCUGUUCAGUGGGCUCAAAUAUUGUCUACGACAAAGUUCCUCAUCUGCUUUUCACCUAAUCGUUUCAGCAGCCGUUGAUGAUCAUCCACUUGAUCAGAAGUUCAUGACACCUUUAGUGUCUGAAUAAUUUUUUCUCAGUUCCCAUAGGUCAAUAGAAGUACCUAACAUUUCUGUUUAUUAAGUAGUUAGGGUCAAACAAAUUAAUAUUAGGUUGGUGCAAAAGUAAUUAUGGUUUUUGCUACUACUUUUAACAUAUGUAUUUAUGUCCUAAUAACUUAGUAGCGACUUUAAAAUAUACACAUAAUUUGAAAGAGUAAUACUUUAAUUUCAUUCUUAAAUAACCACAUUCGCUUACUAAUGGGAUGUCUAUACCUCUUGGGCACCUCAUAAUUUCUGAAACCUUGAAAUCAGGUGGGACACCACUACCCUCAUUUCCUGUUCUUAACUGGAUUCUGCACAACACUUUCUUGAGACCAUAGCAACCACUGAAAACCUGACUGCAAAGAUAGGUUAGUCAAAAGAAUGUAAUUUGCUCUAACGUUGAAAGUUUGAAUUACCUCAGGCUGGUAGUUCACAUGGCUUCUGACAGAUGUCAUCGUUGUUUCCCCCAAAAUUUAAAAUACCUACUGUGAUGUCCCUGUGAGUUUGUUAUAGUGCCCUCACGGUUUGGGCACUGGAGGUCAUUGGCCAUUAUUCUCCCAGACUAGAGCAAGGAUUGGCAAACUUUUUCUGUAAACAGCCCAGUAGUAAAUAUUUAGGCCUAGUAGCCACGCGGUCUCUGUCAUAACUACUCAAUUCUGCCUUUAUGGUGUGAAUGCAACCAGUAUAGACAAUAUGUAAACAAAUGGAGUGACUGUUGCCGUGCUUUGAAUGUGUGUUACCUCCAAAAUUCAUGGUGAAACUUAAUCACCAUCAUUGCAAUAAGUGGGGCCUUUUUAGGAAGUGAUGCUUAUGAGAGCCAUGCCCUCGUGAAUGUAGGGCGUUUAUAAAAGGGCUUGAGAGAGUACGUUUGCUCUCUUUACUCUUCUGCCAUGUGAGGACACAGUGUUCUUCCCCUCCAGAGAAUGCAGCAACAAGGUGCCAUCUUGGAACUGGAAACUGAGCCCUCACCAGACACUGAUCCUGCUGGUGCCUUGAUCUUGGACUCCAAGCCUCUAGAACUAUCUGAAGAAGCCUUGCAGACAAGUGGCCUUGUCUCUUGGAAUUUUGUCCUUGCAAUGUUUGCUUGGUUGGAAUGCUCACUCUGGGGGUAAGCAACCAACAUAAUAAGUCUGACUGAGACCACCAACUGUGAGGAAGCCCAAGCUAGCCACUUGGAGAGAGAGAGAGACACCUGGCCAGCACCCAGCUGUUCCAGGUAUCCCAGUCACCAGAUAGCUGAAGAAAGAAGCCAUCUUGAAUGUUAAACAAAUUGAUAUCAAACGUUAAGAUGAAUCAAGUCCCAGCCAACAUCUGAAGGUAACUGCAUGAGAGAUCCCAACUGAGCCCCCUCAAUCAACAGAACCAUGAAAGAUAAUAAUAAAUUGUUUUAAGCCACCAAGUUUUGGAGUAGUUUGUUAUUCAGCAAUAGAUCACCAGAACAGUACUGUAAACUUUGGUCACUUGGUUAAGAUAGUGUCUUCCAGGUUUCUCCAUUGUACAGUUAUUUUUUCCUUAUAAUUGAUAACUAAUUCAUGGGGAGACACUAUAAGACCUUAUUAAUGUCCUUUUUUCAUCAGACUUUCAGCUGCUAGUUUUAGUAAGCCAGAGUCAAAUAUUAGUAUGAUAGUUGCAAAAUGGUAACCAAAAAACUCCUCUAUUAGUUCUUCUACGUUUGUUAGCUAGCAUUCUGCUGUAAGAAAGAGAUUUGCUGGCUGGGAAAUCUCUUUGUGCCCGGCCUAGCACACGUUCUUAUCCUUUGCUGGUUCCUUCUUUUCUUUCCAUUUUAUUAAUUUUGGUUUAUCCUUCCAUUAAAAAUGAGCAAAUAUGUCUUUUUAGAUAUAAACUAGCAUACUGGACACACUACUCUGGCUUUUUUCCAAUAAUACAUCCUGGCAAUCACUCCAUAGCAGUGUAUAGAGAUAAUCCUCUUUUCUUUUAAUGGCUGCAGAGUAUUCCAUUGGUAGAUGUUUUGGCCUGCUAUUGAGCAAGUUUUCAGUUGUUUUCAGUCUUUAGCUUUUGGUUGUGCAGUGAAUAACUUUGUGUAAAAUCCUUUUGUAUUUUUUGCCAGUGUAUCUCUGAGAUAACUUCCAGAAGGAAGGUUGCUGGAUCAAAGGGUACAUGCAUGUGUAAUUUUGCUAGAUCUUGUCAAAUUCCCUUCCCUCAGGGUUAUGCCAUGGUACAUUCCCAAGAGCAAUAUAUGAGUGCCUAUUACUUUACAGCUUUCUAACAGAGUACAUUAUCAAACAUUUGCCAUUCUAAUAGGUGAAAAAUUGUUUCUCAGUGUAGUUUUCAUUUGCAUUGCUCUUAAAAUGAAGUUGAGAUUCUCUUCAUUUAUUUAAGGACUAUUUGCUUUUCUUUUUCUGUGAAAUUCUUUGUUUAUAUCUCUUACCCAUUUUUC